AGCAAAGCAACGUUUGAGAGUGUUAUAAAAUUCAAUUUUGAUACAAAUCGAGCCUCAUUUAGCCGCCACCAUCUCCAUUGGGAAGAUUGAAUUUCACAAACCAAUCAUAUCUUUGAUCACCGCAUUGUCAUUUUGCAGAUCCCAAGAAGAAGCAUAACAAUCAACUUCAUUCAUUCUAAUCUUGCAUUUUUACUUGAUGAAACCAAACUGGGAACUCAAAAACUGCUGCAACCACGACCAGGUGGUGUUUCUGGUCACUGUUGCUGUCUGCACUGUCGUUAUACUUGCACUACGGAGAACAGUUUUACUCAGACCCUUUAAGCUUGUUACUGUAUUUCUUCAUGAGGCAAGCCAUGCAAUUGCUUGUAAACUUACUUGCGGUCAUGUAGAAGGAAUCCAGGUUCAUGCAGAUGAAGGUGGAACAACCCAAACACGUGGAGGCAUAUACUGGUUAAUCUUGCCAGCUGGAUAUCUUGGUUCAUCUUUCUGGGGCAUGGUAUUGAUACUUGCAUCAACAAAUCUUCUUACCGCUAGAAUAGCUGCUGGCUGUUUUAUUGCUGCUCUACUUAUUGUCCUCUUCAUUGCCAAAAAUUGGACUCUUCGGGGACUUUGCAUUGGAUUUAUCAGUUUUCUUGGUGUAAUAUGGAUUCUGCAAGAGACAACCAAAGUUCGAAUACUACGGUACAUUAUCUUGUUCAUAGGUGUAAUGAAUAGCUUAUUUUCAGUAUAUGAUAUUUACGACGAUCUGAUCUCCCGUAGAGUACAUUCCAGUGAUGCAGAAAAAUUUGCGGAAGUGUGCCCCUGUCCUUGUACUGGUGUAGGAUGGGGUGUUAUUUGGUGAGGAUCUGUUAUUAGAAAGAGUUUUCUUUGUUGUUUCUGCUAAAGGUGUUUACUUAGUUGAGCUGACAAGGAAAGCCAGGGGGUUAAUAUCUUUUGUGUUUCUUUGCGGAGCUGUGUAUCUGGGUGCUGUGAUCUUGUCAUAACUGAUAAAGAAAGAAGAUUGUAAUUCAAGUUCUAUGACCGCUGAGAAGCCAUGUGAUUCAAUCCAUCUGGCUUUACUGCUUUUACAGACUAAUUCUGAAUAUUGUCGAGUCAGGUCCUUUGGCAGUUUGGCUUCAUUCCUAAUCAUAUUCAGGGUGAUUUAUACCAGAUUAAAAUGAAAAAGUAGUUCUGAUA